GUGUCCCAUCUCCCUUCAAGUUAAGAUUGCAGAUGUAUUAGGCCUGGACAAUCCAAGUAUCCCAACCUCCAGGCAACAAAGAACAGUCCAAGGGCUGGGCAAGUAACAGGGGUCUUGAUUCCUGCAGUUGAUUCCAAGUUCAAAUGUACUACGCAACUAUUCAAGAGGUGUUGAGAAAACGUCCACACUUAGAACCGUGAAGAAUGCGGGAGCUCCUACAUAAGGAGACCAUUUUGCAAACAACACAACUGAGUACCAACCUCUAAUUCAAUAUCCGGAGUACCGACUUUUUUUUUAAGGACAUAAUCUUAUUACACCUCAAAAGAGCACCUGGUCCUGCGUCCAUUCUGCUCUAUGCUGCUCCAAUAAGAAGACAAUCCUAUGAAUCACUUUCAUGAAUCU